rnacentral:rRNA from 1 species
GACGAACGCUUGCGGCGUGCUUAACACAUGCAAGUCGAACGGUAAGGCCCUUCGGGGUACACGAGUGGCGAACGGGUGAGUAACACGUGGGUGAUCUGCCCUGCACUUCGGGAUAAGCCUGGGAAACUGGGUCUAAUACCGGAUAGGACCACUGCCUGCAUGGGUGGUGGUGGAAAGCUUUUGCGGUGUGGGAUGGGCCCGCGGCCUAUCAGCUUGUUGGUGGGGUGAUGGCCUACCAAGGCGACGACGGGUAGCCGGCCUGAGAGGGUGACCGGCCACACUGGGACUGAGAGACGGCCCAGACUCCUACGGGAGGCAGCAGUGGGGAAUAUUGCACAAUGGGCGCAAGCCUGAUGCAGCGACGCCGCGUGAGGGAUGACGGCCUUCGGGAUGUAAACCUCUUUCAGCACCGACGAAGCGCAAGUGACGGUAGGUGCAGAAGAAGGACCGGCCAACUACGUGCCAGCAGCCGCCGUAA